rnacentral:RNase_P_RNA from 1 species
AGAGUGGGUUGGGUGAUCACUCUGCGUAGCUUUAUGCUAAGCAGGGAGGAAAGUCCGAGCAGGGCAGGGCACGGUGGUGGCUAACGGCCACCCGGGGCGACCCGCGGGAAAGUGCAGCAGAAAGUAUACAGCCGAUGACCUUUAUGGUACAGGCAAUGGUGAAAAGGUGUGGUAAGAGCGCACCGCGAUACAGGUGACUGUAUCGGCAGUGAAAACCCCACCGCCUGCAAGACCAAGCAUGCUGGUAAUCCGGCCCGGAGAGAGCGGCUCGCCGCUCGGCCAGCGGGUAGGUUGCAUCCCGUUUUACGGGAGAGUUGUCUGGCAACAGCCAACCAAGAUAAAUGAUCGCCAUUUACAGAACUCGGCUUACAGACCCACUCUUUUU